ensembl:snoRNA U3 Small nucleolar RNA U3
AUUCAAAUAUUGUAGAUCAUUUCAAGUCAUUUGCACACGCUAUCGUCUGGAAUGUUGAAGAGCCACCACGAUGAAGAGAACUGAUGUUCCCUUCUGAGCGCGAAGCGGGCAGUGAGUGAUGAUGCAUUUCAUCCGCUCCUUGCCAUUGAUGACCGUUCCAUGCUCUCUAGUGGAGCCUGGAGGUAGGGAUCAUGAUCAGAGUGGU